UUUCAAUGCAUGAAAAUGAUGAUGUCACUAAUUCAUUACUAUUAAAUAUCUGGUAGCACAAUAUUGUUACAUAAUACAACUUAAACACACAAUACAGUUCAUUUCUAAAUAUAAAACAAUAUUGAAAAUACAAUCCUAUAAAAAUACAUAAAAUAAUAUUGAAAAUACAUCUUCGGAGUCUUUAAUUUCUUCCACUGCUUGAAGUUGAUGUGUGUUGAAGUAUCCUAGGACAGCGACGGCGAUCAUGAUCCUGUUCCUUACAAAUAUCAUAGUAAUUCUUACUUCUUAUUUGCCUAUCAUCCAUCUCAUUUCACAGUCUUAUUGACUUUGGUCUGCCUUUAUGCUUGGGUCUCAAACGAUGAUGAUCAGAAAUACAUUUGAACAUACGUGUAUGCAUCCAAUAAUCUUCAUGUAGUAAUGGAUUAAACUCAUCACUCUAAGCAUUCAUAUAUGCUGUAAUUGUAUAUGCAUCAUCCA
rnacentral:lncRNA from 1 species